UGGAGCGGUGGUCCGGAGAGAGAAGGAUGUGGAGCCGGAGCUCGUCUGGGGGGCGGAGCGGGUCGGCAGCACCUGGUGUCGGUGUGUCCUGAGUCUGUCUGCUGUCAGGAGGCUGACCUGGACCAUGCCAUGCGUGGUGAAGCAUGUUUAACAAAUGUUCGCACACUUGUGUGCCGCGGAACAGCGGCUGGGAAUCACUGGAUUGGAGCACAGUUAUGGGGCGAAUCUGUUUUGGCUUGAUGUAAAUCCUGUCCGCUGGCUGGACUCGGCCUCUCUGGCUUUUCGUCUGAGAUUUACAGCUUGACCAUUUAUUUACUGAUAAACACUACUUCACCUAAGAGACUUGAGUAUCCAGUUCUUCAUUGACCUUCAGCAUUCAGUUGUUUGUCUUCACCUUUUCAGGUUUCCUGUGUCCAGCAUCUUCAAGACAGACUAAGCUAACUUUUCAUAUUUUUUGCACAUUUAUAUUUAGGUUAGGUUAGGAAUAGGUUAGGUUUAUAGUAGAGUAUUUAGUUUGUAUAGUUUAGCUUUUUAUGCUGGUCUAGGGACAGUUAAGUUAGCAAAUUAAUUUAGUUCAGAUCAGAUACAAUUGCAUAUUAUUGUUACAAUUGUGUUAUUUUGUGAGUUAUUGUUGUACAGGCUAUUGUAUAUUGCAGAACCAAGUGAAACGAGGAAGACCACUGCUUCCAAGAUUCCGCUCAGAAAGUGCGUUGGACAAGUCUCGACCUUGCAGAUCCUGCCCCACUUAGCCCAACCACUUCCGACCAUGGGGUACCUCAAAGACCUCCGUCAACCAGCCGGUUGUGGAUGAUGGAUAACGCACCCACAACUCCUUCUCCAGUCUACAAGGUUCUGAAAAUACAGACACCCCCACAGUCCAAGAACAGCUGGAUGACCUCUGGACCCACUUGCCCCCGUUCACCAGUUGAAAAGAUAAGCUUUUUAAAAAAUUCUUUAAUUGUUAAUUCUGGACAAAGUGAUACACAAAACAUUGUCUGUAUUCCAUUUCAACAAACACAAACAUGAAAUGUAUAUUUAAAUACAUGACUUAAUGCAAGUCAAUCAUACUAAACAUCAUCUUUUUUUUUUUUUUAAACCAACCAUUGCACACAUCUCCAUCCAAGGAGAGGUUACAUCUUGAUGGUAACUUUUUAGAUUAACAAAACUUUUGUGAUAUUUGUAAUUGUUGUUGCUGGGGAGGGGGCGGAAAGGGUAAGUCUAAACAUUGCAUGCAAGAGACCAACACAAGCAUCUCAGGGGAAAGCUAUCUGUAUACAUAACUAUCAACCUACUUGGUUGCUUCAAAAUUUUACGAUAGUUUUGCAAAUCCUGACCCAGAGAGAACCACAUCAAACAAACAAAAAAAGCAAUGGUAGAUUUUCAAGGCCUUUCGAUGACAUUAACAUUAUUUUCAAUGACAUUCAUUUUGCAAUUAACAUUAGUUUUAUCUUCUAAAACAUAACUAUAAUGACAUUCAAAUGUAGAUUACCACAAUCACAAUAAUAAACUUCAAGUCUCAUUGGAUAAAAUGAAAAAUUAUUGACAGUCCUGAAAUGAUGGGUUAAAUAUCCCUGAUAAGCCCGCAUUAAUAAUAUAUUAAUUUCAGGUGAAAUAUUAAUUUUUUUACUUUAAAUUCUAAUC